UAGGGGGCAAGCGUUGUCCGGAUUUAUUGGGCGUAAAGAGCGUGUAGGCGGUCAGGUAGGUCCGUUGUGAAAACUCGAGGCUCAACCUCGAGACGCCGAUGGAAACCAUCUGACUAGAGUCCGGAAGAGGAGAGUGGAAUUCCUGGUGUAGCGGUGAAAUGCGCAGAUAUCAGGAAGAACACCCGUGGCUAAGGCGGCUCUCUAGUACGGUACUGACGCUGAGACGCGAAAGCGUGGGGAGCGAACAGG
rnacentral:rRNA from 1 species